rnacentral:rRNA from 1 species
ACGGGUGAGUAAUACAUCGGAACGUAUCCUGGAGUGGGGGAUAGCCCGGCGAAAGCCGGAUUAAUACCGCAUACGCUCUGAGGAGGAAAGCGGGGGACCUUCGGGCCUCGCGCUCAAGGGGCGGCCGAUGGCGGAUUAGGUAGUUGGUGGGGUAAAGGCCUACCAAGCCGACGAUCCGUAGCUGGUCUGAGAGGACGACCAGCCACACUGGGACUGAGACACGGCCCAGACUCCUACGGGAGGCAGCAGUGGGGAAUUUUGGACAAUGGGGGCAACCCUGAUCCAACAAUGCCGCGUGUGUGAAGAAGGCCUUCGGGUUGUAAAGCACUUUUGUCCGGAAAGAAAUCAUCGGGGCCAAUACCCCUGGUGGAUGACGGUACCGGAAGAAUAAGCACCGGCUAACUACGUGCCAGCAGCCGCGGUAAUACGUAGGGUGCGAGCGUUAAUCGGAAUUACUGGGCGUAAAGCGUGCGCAGGCGGUGCUGUAAGACCGAUGUGAAAUCCCCGGGCUUAACCUGGGAACUGCAUUGGUGACUGCAGCGCUGGAGUAUGGCAGAGGGGGGUGGAAUUCCACGU